CACGUAGGGUGCGAGCGUUGUCCGGAAUUAUUGGGCGUAAAGAGCUCGUAGGCGGUCUGUUGCGUCGGCUGUGAAAACCCGGGGCUCAACUCCGGGCCUGCAGCCGAUACGGGCAGACUAGAGUUCGGCAGGGGAGACUGGAAUUCCUGGUGUAGCGGUGAAAUGCGCAGAUAUCAGGAGGAACACCAGUGGCGAAGGCGGUGCUCUGGGCCGGAACUGACGCUGAUGAGCGAAAGCGUGGGGAGCAAACAGG
rnacentral:rRNA from 1 species